GGGACGGGAAGAGAAUAGGGCAGAUCAAGCAGCCAGGAUGCAUCUUGGGACGUGGGCCUCGCAUGCACGUCUUCCUGGCUGAGGUUGACUCCCUAGCCCUUUGGCCACACUGCGAUCGCAUGGAUAUGGGUACGUCCAGACAGCUGACGGAACUGGACCUGUGGCUCAACCGACUUCUUAGAGAAGGUAAAUCUGCUCAUUUUUAAGAGCAAAGUUGAGUCAACAGUGGAAUGAAAUACGUCUCUCAGAGGGAAAGAGCCAAGUCUAAGGAGUCCGAUGGAAAACUGCCACAGAAAGGCAAGAGGCAACGUUCUGCCACAAAAAUGUAAUUUGCAUCAUCAUCCGCAAUGGCACGCUGGAAACGCCCUUUGGGUAGUUCCGGGAAGGCCAGGUGUGGGGCUCCUCCCACUUGGCUGGGCCCAGAGCGCGGAUUCGUGAUCCCUCUUCAGAGAGCAGCUGAACUAAAGGGAGCCCAACUCAGACCCGGGGAUUCAAGGCCAGCCAUCCUCGGACUGCUCCUGGGACUUCUCCUUUGGACUUCUACUUUGAACUUCUUCUCUUUUGGAGUUUGUCUUUGGAGACUCUGUGUUGCUGAGCUGGAAUGAGGGAGGAGAGUUUUCCCCUGGAUCCUGUUUUGGCUUGCUGGGUGAGUAGCUGGUGUUCCUUUCUUGACUUCUGGAGAGACUGGUUCCAGAGAAGCCUUCCUUUCUUGGAUCAGGAUGCAUUGGUGUAACCCUUGCUGAAGACAUCACCAAGACUCCUAGCUUAAAAGACUACUAUGACUCCACAUGGAGAUCAGGACUUGAGAGCCCUUUCUGGGUGGUGACUGGACUUCUUUGGGCUAAAAUUAAAGGGUAUCUAGCUAGGCAAUAUUUCUCCUUCCUUCUCUCUUUUGCUAUAUCUCCAUUAAACUAAAUUGUUAAGAGCAAUUAACAGACUUGUGACUUAAGAGUUAAUUUUUUUAAUUGGUAACCACAAUAUUACUUUAGAACUUUCAUAUUUAGCAUAAAACCUAAAUUUUAAAUUCUUACAUGGGUUUCAUGUCCAGUGAAGCACCCUCAUUUGAGAGCAAGUCCAAGCUGCUUCUCAGUUAUUAGAGUAUCUUGAGGGUUACUAUCUAUUUAAUGUGUUAAGUUCUUGGUGGGGGAUAAACUGUCUUUACCCUACAGUGGCCUUGCCAUGGCAAACAGGGCAGAGCUAGGAUCUAGUCACUGUAUCUGAGGGAAAGAAGUGAGAUAGCUCAGCAGUGCUCAGACCAAGGGACUAAGUUCAAAGUUGUAGAUACAGGAUCAAAGUUCAGGGAUGACUGAAUUGGCAGCCAUAAUUCAGCCCCUCGUCUGCACAAGGCUAGAAUCUUCUUAGCUUUCUGGUAUAUGUACAACAUAUCUGUGUGUGUGUGUGUUUGCAUGCCUACUUGUGCCUGCCUCUCAUAUUCAGCAGGCUUCAGCAGCUCUUGUGGGCAACAACAGUCAUGCCUGGACCUUUCAGGUUUGAUAUAUUAUCAGGUCUCAUUUGGGAGGAGAGAAAGAGUUUUCUACUCCAAAGCA
ensembl:lncRNA